rnacentral:lncRNA from 1 species
UGCGUUCGCGCCGCGCGGGUCUUGGCUCAUCGUUCUCUGCCCGUCUUCUCUCACCUCUCAUCUCUCUCCGGACCUCCGGCGAAUUGCGGCAGCACUCCACGACCCAGAAUCAGCCGGAGACCGCCGUCUUAUGAAGUUUCUGAAGCAGAAUAUCAGGUAUUUGAAGUGUUCAUUACUAUGUUAGUGCCAAUAUGCUUCCUGAUAUGCCCCAUGUUUUAUGCCGUUUUUUUUUUUUUCUGGGUGAAUCAAUAGUCAUGAUAAAUUGAUUGGAAAAUGGAGACACGAAAAUGGAGUUCCUCAAUUCUAUCAGAUACAGUAUUUAUUGGAAAAUAGGAAUUCUACAAUUUCGAUUAGGAAGAAGCUUGGCUUUCAAUGUUAAUGGAGCAGAGUAUAUAAUGUUAUUAGUAUGUUGUACCUUUAGCUAAUGGGAAAGACAUCUCAUCAGCCUUAUUAUCUAAAUCAAACAUCCUAUUUCCAG